AAAUGAAGCGGAUACCGAUGUGGGAGUGAGCAAGCACGACGUGAUUGCGAUGGUGGAUUGGAAUCCUGAAUUUUUUGGCACCGAAAAUAGUGCGGGCGGGCGGCGUGAGCGCAGGGCGGGCGCGCGCGCAGUGCGUGUCGCUCCGCCGUGUGAAUAGCCCGCUAGGCCAGUAACUGGCGUAUUUUUUCGACCGGACCGUAAAAACAAAAAGCCGCCACCAUGGACGCGAUUAAGAAGAAGAUGCAGGCGAUGAAGCUGGAGAAGGACAAUGCCAUGGACAAGGCAGAUACCUGCGAACAGCAGGCCAGAGAUGCCAACCUCCGUGCCGAGAAGGUCAAUGAAGAAGUACGUGAGCUCCAAAAGAAACUCGCCCAGGUUGAGGAGGAUCUCGUCCUGAACAAGAACAAGCUCGAACAGGCCAACAAAGACUUGGAAGAGAAGGAGAAGCAGUUGGCCGCUACUGAGGCUGAGGUGGCCGCGAUGAACAGGAAGGUCCAACAGAUUGAGGAGGACCUCGAGAAAUCUGAGGAGAGGUCUGGCACUGCCCAGCAGAAAUUGCUUGAAGCUCAACAGGCUGCUGACGAGAACAACCGUAUGUGCAAAGUAUUGGAGAACAGAGCACAACAAGACGAGGAGCGCAUGGACCAACUUACCAACCAACUUAAGGAAGCGCGUUUGCUCGCUGAAGACGCUGACGGAAAAUCUGAUGAGGUUUCACGUAAGCUGGCCUUCGUUGAAGACGAACUCGAAGUCGCUGAGGACCGUGUGAAGUCUGGUGAUGCUAAAAUCUCAGAACUUGAAGAAGAAUUAAAGGUCGUCGGUAACUCCCUCAAAUCUCUGGAAGUAUCCGAAGAAAAGGCCAACCAGCGUGUAGAAGAAUUCAAAAAGCAGCUGAAGACCCUCACCAUCAAACUUAAGGAGGCUGAGGCACGCGCUGAGUUUGCUGAGAAGACCGUCAAGAAACUCCAGAAGGAAGUUGACAGGCUCGAAGACGCAUUGUUCAACGAGAAGGAGAAAUACAAGGCGAUUUGCGAUGACUUGGACGGCACAUUCGCCGAGCUCACAGGAUACUAACAACCUCGCACUUAGUUUAAGAUUAUACCGUCCCAAAACAUCACCCGUAAAAACCCCAAAUAUCACACUGUCAUUUGUAUAAACUACCAAAUUUUUCGAUCUGUUCAACUACAAGGUUUUCUGCGACUGAUUACUUGAUAGGUCAUCAUUUAGCAUCUUCACUACCAACUUCCAGUUUCUUAACCUCUUUGUAUAGUAUCGCUUUUAAUUUCAACUUCUUACUAAUUAACCCUAACCUCGUCGAUAUUUAGAGGAUUGUCAAUAUUGAAAUUCGGAGUUUUAUUUACUCUAGCGUUUAGGGCAUUUUGGGACAAUCCUCUAUAAAUCGUAGUCUCGAGCCCUGCUUUUUGUGUUGUGAUUAAUACGUCUUAUGCUUUGCUGCUACCGUCGUGGGUCAAUGCUUCCAAGACGAGUUGGGCAUCAACAAGGACAGAUACAAGAGUUUGGCCGACGAGAUGGACUCCACCUUCGCCGAGCUGGCCGGCUACUAGGCACCUCCACAUUCACAUACAAACAUUCACCUGACAGUAAAGGCAGCACCACCGCCGAACUAAUGCGAACUACACUUUGUGUUCGUGAUGUAAUAUUUAUUAAUAUUAUAUGUAAAUUUAUUUACGAUUUUGAAUAAAAUAAUUUAUAACAACA